rnacentral:rRNA from 1 species
UACAGAGGGGGCAAGCGUUGUUCGGAAUUACUGGGCGUAAAGGGCGCGUAGGUGGCCUUCUAAGUUGAACGUGAAAUCCCUGGGCUCAACCCAGGAACUGCGUCCAAGACUGGGAGGCUUGAAUCCGGGAGAGGGAUGCGGAAUUCCAGGUGUAGCGGUGAAAUGCGUAGAUAUCUGGAGGAACACCGGUGGCGAAGGCGGCAUCCUGGACCGACACUGACACUGAGGAGCGAAAGCCAGGGGAGCAAACGGG